UACGUAGGGUGCGAGCGUUAAUCGGAAUUACUGGGCGUAAAGCGUGCGCAGGCGGUUCGCUAAGGCCGAUGUGAAAUCCCCGGGCUUAACCUGGGAACUGCAUUGGGGACUGGCGGGCUAGAGUGUGGCAGAGGGGGGUAGAAUUCCACGUGUAGCAGUGAAAUGCGUAGAGAUGUGGAGGAAUACCGAUGGCGAAGGCAGCCCCCUGGGCUAACACUGACGCUCAUGCACGAAAGCGUGGGGAGCAAACAGG
rnacentral:rRNA from 1 species